UGAUGAUUUUCCGUAUUUGAUCUGCCGAUCGAGUGCCGUCCUUGUGAACGACGAUUAAAUAAUACGAUUUCGUUCAAGAAUGUAAUUUCCGAAACACAGAAAUCAUUAGUAAAAGAUUCCCGAUCUAAGCGAUGCCCUGAAGUUUCUCUAUCCGUUGCCAGAUCUUCGGCAAAUGUUGCUGUAGUUGAAAGUCGAAGGCGCAGUUUGGCUUUUAUAGUUUAUACUGACUUUGUCAAUGUGUUCUCCUCGAGUGAUGAAACUAGAUCUGCUACACCUUUAUCCAUGCCAA